GAUGAAGAACGUAGCGAAAUGCGAUAAGUAGUGUGAAUUGCAGAAUUCAGUGAAUCAUCGAAUCUUUGAACGCCCAUUGCGCCCCAUGGUAUUCCGUGGGGCAUGCCUGUUCGAGCGUCAUUUACCCCCUCAAGCUCCGCUUGGUGUUGGGCGUCUGUCCCGCUUCGCGCGCGGACUCGCCCCAAAGGUAUUGGCAGCGGUCGUGCCAGCUUCUCGCGCAGCACAUUGCGCUUCUCGAGGCACCGGUGGGCCCGCGUCCAUCAAGCUCACCCCCCCAGUUUGACCUCGGAUCAGGUAGGGAUACCCGCUGAACUUAAGCAUAUCAAUAAGCGGAGGA
rnacentral:misc_RNA from 1 species